CUCAGAAAUAAACACAAGAUCUAUCUAUAUAGCUAGGAUUUUAUUCUGCACAGACUGCCAUGGUACCUGAAUGCCUUGCUAUCCCUAGUGUGAUUGCACCACAGCCAGCCUCAGUGAAGCAUUUGGUCAGCUUCUUAAGAAAGGAUUAUUCUCAGUAAGGGCCCAAUCAAGAAACACUUAACUGACAAUGAACUUUGGGAGAUGCCAAUCCACAUCUGAGCUUUCCUGGGAACGUUCAAUCUAACAUGUAAGCAAUGGCGUCGGCCUGCAAACUGAGUCAUGCCUGGACAUGCGACUUGCCCACGUGAGUCCAAACCCCAUCUUGCGGCUGUGAUUGUCCACAGUAAGAACAAAGGGGUGUCCUUCCAAAGGGCAGAGAAUAUAAAGGCCCUGGAAACCCCUCUGUUUUGUCUUCAAUCCAGCUUCUUACUUCUGGAGAAAUUUUACUACAAACUGAAGCUCUAAACAAAGGACUGAUGACCCAUCCCAGCUGUGGAUGUACUCCAGAAACUUGAUUUGAACCUGCAGCUUAUUCCAUCACAGCUGCGAGCCUGAACCAAGAACUUUGCCAUUACUGUAUGUAAUUGAUUGCAUUUAACCAAUUCUAGUUCGCAUCUAUAUAUCUAUCUUCUUAUGAAUAAACCUUUAGAUUCUGAA